AUACUGGAGACACACUGUGAAGUCUAGAUUACUUAAGGUCAAAUUCGAUUCUUAGUCCUUUAAGUGUUUAGAAAAUUGAGAUGAAGAGACGGGCACUGAGGGGGGCACUUGAGGGGAUGAGCACUGGGUGUUAUUCUAUAUGUUGGCAAAUUGAACACCAAUAAAAAAUAAAUUUAUAUAAAAAAAAGAAAGAGGCUGAGAUUUUGGAUCUGAUAUCACUCAGCAAUACCUUGCAAUGAAAUCAACUUUCCUUUGUGAAAUUCUGAAAGUAAACACUAAUAUCUGAAUCUUACACUGAAUCUAAUAUCAAAGUAAUAGACUGGGCUUGAAGCUGGAGAGGAGGGAAAAAAAGAAACUUCUUUAUAUACAGACUGUAAUUCUCUAGCAUUUCAGGGAUUUCUGGGAAGACUUAUUUAAUCUACCUUGUCAUGUGCUGACAUUUAAUAAACACCUCACUCCUUUCCAGGUAUUUUUAACAGUGAGCUGCAGAAGAGUAAAUCCCUGGCCAGUUAACAGUAUUGAAAUGACCGAACAGCUUCUCUCUUGAAAAACAAGACUAAUGGUCUGUGGGAAUUCUGGGAAGGUGGUAGAGAAGCAUCAGGUGUUAUAGGAGAAAAGGCCUUCAAUUGUCUUAAGGUUGAAGAUGGACGGUGUGUUAAAGAAGUGGAUGGCAUAUAGAAGCAUGGAUUCUGGACAUGGCUGUGCCACUAAGUACAGAAGUAACAUGAGGCCUUGGAUUGGGAUGCUGGGCGAGACAUGUCCUAACCUGCAUAUGUUUUGUUAAGGUAAGAGGAUUUUCCCUCCAACUCUCCCCUUCCUUCCCACCAGCCCUCAGCAUUAGGAUGAAGCAAGGUGAUGUUUGUAAAACAGCUGGGA
rnacentral:lncRNA from 12 species